rnacentral:misc_RNA from 1 species
GAUUAAGAACGCAGCGAAAUGCGAUAAGUAAUGUGAAUUGCAGAAUUCAGUGAAUCAUCGAAUCUUUGAACGCACCUUGCGCCCUUUGGCCAUUCCGAAGGGCAUGCCUGUUUGAGUAUCAUGAACACCUCAACUCUUCAUGGUUUUCCGUGAUGAGCUUGGACUUUGGGGGUCUUGCUGGCCUAUGGUCAGCUCCUCUAAAAUAAAUCAGCUUGCCAGUGUUUGGUGGGUAUCACAGGUGUGAUAACUAUCUACGCUUGUGGUUUUCCACCAGGUAACCUUCAGCAGUGGAGGUUCGCUGGAGCUCACAGAUGUGUCUCUCCUCAGUGAGGACAGCUCUUUGAAUGUUUGAUCUCAAAUCAGGUAGGACUACCCGCUGAACUUAAGCAUAUCAAUAAGCGGAGGA